CUCUCUCUCCCUCUCUCUCUCUCUCUCUCUCUCUCCCUCUCUCCCCUCCUCCCUCCCAACCCCAGAGCACUUCCUGCAAACUGCCGGGCUGCGCUGCUGCUGUUGCUGCUGCUUUCCGUUGCGGGCGCGGCACCAUCCUGUACCCCGGCUCCCCCUGCCUGACCUGCUCCAUUUUACAGAUGGGGAACUCAAGGUCGACCUCUGGAGGUUUUGUUUGUUUGUUUAUUUGUUUGUUUUCCAAAAUGAAGCACGGGAACUGCCGUGCUGGAAAGAUGUUCACCACCAUGCCUGGGAUCUGGUGAUUUUACAGGAUCUGAAGAGUCCAUUGGGCUUCUGCUUAGCCUUCAGAGCCUGCUGCUGGAUUCCUAGUCUGCAAGCCGACGCUUUCGGGGUCGGCGCUGGAAAUAAUGUAACUGGGUUUUCAGCUCAAACCUAUUUCAUUUCUAACAUUUAAAUUCAGAAGUUAAAUUGGAAGAACGUCAAGAACAUUGUCUUUCUUAAGUAAAAUGAAAAAAUUACAUAUGGAAAAUAUAUUACUUCUGAUUGAAUCCAGGGAUAAUUUCCAGAACGCCUGUGUGUUAUUGCAUUGAUACUCAACCUACAACAGUGUCUCAGAGACAUUAGAGUCACUUUGCUGUGGUUUAUGCAGCACGCUGAACCAGGAGAACGGGCGCUCUGUGACUCCUGAGGGGAAUUACAUUGUAAGACUGAAGAGGCUCCUGUCUGCAGCUUCAUCGCUCUAGAGACCGAAGCGGGAAUAUUGUCAGGAGUCAUGCUUAGCCUGUGCUGCACAGCGAGCUUCAGGCCAGCCUGGGCUACAGAGUGAAGCUCCCAAAAGAAGAGAUAGUCUUCCAGCCCAGCCUGGCCUGCAAGUCACUGAGGAGUGGAGGCUGCCCCUGAACUCCCGGAUACUUCUCCUUCCACUUCUCUCGCACAUGCAAAACUUGAGAUUUUGAAAGUUGUACAUUUGUUCAAGAUCGCCCAGCAGCUAUCAGAGGAGUGAGGGCAAACCCCAGGUCUCCAGACAUAGGUCACAACAGCACCCAAAUCCAUCACCCACCCUUUGCAUUUGGAUGGCAAAGGUUGAGCCACCCUGAAACUACUGUUUUCAGGUUUUUUUUAGUUCCCUAGAACUGGUUCCUUCUUCCAGAAACCCAGAGUGCUGUAACUAAAUGCGUCUUGUGUCUUUCAGUUCCCUCACGAGGACGAGGCAGGGAUGGGUUUGAAGUUUCUGAGCCUUGCAGUUGGGAUGCCCCUGUCCUUUCAGAGGUUCAUCACUGCAUCACUGCCAGCCUUUUCCUGCUUAUGGAAACCCUGGGAUCAGGUGUUCAAGGUUAGCCUCAGCAAUAUCGUGAGUUCAAGACCAGCCUGGGAUACAAAAGACCUC